CUCUAAUGCAUUGUUUGAUAUGGAUUGUUUAAUUGAAAUUGAGUAUUGACAUUCACCCUUGAACUCGAGCAGAAAAUAUCAUCAAAGUGCUCGACCUCAACUUUGCAAUUGCUCGUGUCUCAAUCUCCGAGCAACAACAUGACAUCAUGAACUUCGAGUUUGUACGGGGUGUUGGGUUGUAUGCACCUGCUCUUGGUUGGAUUAUGCUGUCGAGAGGAACUAGGCUUUCCAUUGGUGACCUUGCUCUAGCUUUUUGAAGGCAAGAAGAAGUGAGCAGGACAAUGUCAUGGGCACACAGAAAUGCAGAAUUUCCCUCUCACAAGGCUUCUCAGACACGGUUCCUUGCACCACUCAGGCCUUGCCAUGGCCAUCUCAGGUCUUUGCCUAGCCUCUUUCUGGGGGCACCAGUGCUCGAAUCUAUGACUAGACGCCACUACUCAUCAUACGAGUCAGUUCGAGGGCAAAGUUAUAUAGUCAUCAGAAUGGUUUAGCUGCCAAAACAAGUGUAUAUUCAGCAACAGUCCCAAGCUGAAUCUUCGACAUGUUGCACAUAUGUUCAGUAUGUUGUGCGAACCAAUGAUAAACUUUAAGAUUCCAAUGUUUCAGUUCAACUGAAAGCAAUGAGUUUCAGACACAAAUCAAGCUUGCUAUCUGUUUGAAUA